rnacentral:lncRNA from 1 species
GUGUUGGGUAUAAAAUAACUCGAGUCGAAGUUCGUAAGAGGCCAACCCUCCCAGGACUCUCCCGACUUUCGACCUUGUACGACUUCUUUCUGAACUCUCCUGACCGUCUGAGCUUCCACAAUACCAUCCGGACUCCUCCAGCAGUCGACCUUCCACAAUUUCCUCCAGAUUCCUCCAACGGACGAACACCUAUCGUGCCAUCCGGACUCCUCCAGCAGUCGACCUUCCACAGUAUCCUUCAGAUUCCUUUAAUGGACGAACUCUUAUCGUGCCAUCC